GGAUGAUAUAACAUAGUGUCUUUUUCUCCUCAACAAUAAGAGAUCAUAUUUUUAUUGAAUUUUUUUUUUUAAUAAUCGUUUUGAAAUUAAAUUUAAGCGAAAAUUGAAAAACAAAAUUACUUCAAACUAUAUAUAUUACCGAACUACGCUCGGAAUCGUCUUUCAUCAGUAAUUAUAUAUCGUUGCUUACAGCUAUAAAUGAAAUAAACUUAUGUAUCCUACCUUCCAACUUUCCACUUAUGUAUAUUGCCAAUUUAAAAACGAUGGUGAAAUCAGAAUUGAGCCAACUGACUAACUUUUGAAAUUAUAGCUUUUUGAAGUUUUAAUGUUAUGCGAAUAUUAUAUGUUAUGUUAAAUAACUCUAUAUUGUCUUUUUUAAAGUAUGUCGUGAUCUAAUGAUUAUACAUACCUUUUGUCAUCCUAGAAUCAUGAGUUCAAACCCAGGUUUCAAACAAAAUGUUUUGUAUUUUUAUUUUCUCCUUUACCUGAACAAGGAAAGUAUUAAUUCAUUUUGGGUGUACUUAGAGAACCAAGCCGUCGCUCGCUCGGACUAUUUUAAUCGCAAAAUACCCUCAAUUUAUUUUACAAAUUUGUAUGCCAGAAAUUUUGCUCCGAUAUAUCAAGUGUAACUUAUUUUCUGAAGGGAAAUUGAUUUACAUGGUACUUUAGGGAGGUAAUUUUUUGAUUUCCUGAAGAGUUUUCCCAACAAAUGUGAAAAACCGGGGACAGUGGAGAAAAAUAUAUGUCUCCCUAGUACAGAAAAUAACUCUAAGGAUCUAUAUAAUUAACCGGUUUUUGUGUAGGUACUUAUGAUUAUAACUAAAUGUUGUCAAUAUAGAUACCUAAUUUCAAGGGAACAUAGACAAAGAGUAAUUUUGAUUGAAAAUUAUAUCGUAUUUUUACCUA